rfam:Helianthus annuus linkage group 12, whole genome shotgun sequence.
AAGCCAGAUGAAGAAUAUGGAUUACAUUCUCACGACGGUCGUCUGAGAAUCACACCUUUUCGUAGGGUUUGAUUAAUUGAUGUAUUCAUCCACUUGUUCUGAUGCUU